AAAAAAGACGAAACAAAAGAUUUUGAUUCGGUCCCAACUUUUCUUUAGCAAUUUGGAAAUUUAAAUGUAACCGUACUUUAAGCAUUACCGAAGGAGGAUUCUCUAUUACACAAUUGAUUUAAUUGAACAACCCACUCCUACGGUCCUACCGACUGACUAACGAAUUGACUUUACGGAAUAUAUUCUAUAUCAGUGAAGCAAAGGGCAAAAUUUUUGAAGUUUUUCUGCAGGGAUGAGACAUUAAGCCCAUACAGGUAGCCGGCUCCAGACAACAUUUCGGCAUAAUGGACAGCAUUUCUCAGGCCACGUCAUCAGUACAAUGUAACGGGAAAAUAACUACGUCU